AAACAAGGGUAUUCACUAUAUUCCCAGUAUUUUUUGUAUUCUACCAUCAUAUUCAGUGCAACAAUCAUCUCUUUCUCAUCCUAAUCUACUACAAACCACUAUUUAAACAGUACAUUAUGAUGCAUAACUAGAAUAUCUACCUAUAAGAAGAGCCAAUAUUCUAAAAGCUCAUAAUAGGAUUUUGAUUGGGAAAAGGCAACAGAAACCAAUGUCUAAAAAUUUAAAGUAUAUUCAGCAUCCUUGCCAUGCGGUAUUCAAAUGGAUUCAAGCACACUUUAUGAAACUUUUCCAGGAUAAGUAUCUAUAUGCAAUGACAAUGCACCCAUAGAACAUCAACAACUCUUCCAAAGUACGAACCCGUUCAGAAUUUGUAUAAAUACAACAAUAGAAAACAUGUCCUUAAAAUGCCCAAAAAUAUACAGAAUCAAUUAUAAUCUAACUCAAAGCAGUAGCAUAAACAAUGUCAGAAUAGAGGCUAUUAUUUGAAACCAUAACUCAUACAUUGACCAUAAACACCUCAACAAAAAAAACCAAGUUGAUGCUGGACAAAGAACCAGCUCAAGCUCAACAAGACGGCAAACAUCAACGACAACAGUCCACGGCAAAAAUCAACCUUCAAUCUCUUACACUCGAGAAUCCCUGAAUACUCUAAUUUUAAUCUCAGAAAAACAACUUGAGAACUCCAAAAUAUGCAGCAACUAAACAAAAAUCGGUACUAGCUUUCAAUUUCCCCUCUUCUUUUGGACUUGUGCUCGGAUUUCUGGACCAUUUGUUUUCGAUGUAGGGCUCUUUUUUUAAUUCCUUAGCUCUAAUAUGUUCUGCUAAUGUGUGUGAGUGAGAUGAUAAUUAGAGAAGGGUGUUAUGAGAAGAGGGGGGAAUGGCACUGUUUUGAGAGGGGAAUGGGAGGUCUGUUCUUGGUAAUAAUGAAAAUGGAGAGGAAACUCCCUCCCAGAUGCGUUGUUGCUAUGUGGGGUAAGGUAUAUCAUUAUUUAGGUCUAGGAGCUAGGUUUUAAUUAAAGGGGAUGGGUUUUGGGUCGGGUCAGGUGGGUUUGGGGCUUUUUGGGGAAUUUGGGUCUUCGUUUUUUCCUUUUGUUUUUUUUAAUUUUUUAAAAUCCUAAAUCAAUCUAUUUUUGUAGAAAAAUAAAAUUCUUUUAAUAUUUCUAACAAUAAAACAACUAAAUAACUUAAAACUAAAGAAAAAUGCUAAUUUUAAUUGCUAAAAUCUAAAUAUGUAAAAAUGACCAUUUUGUGAUUUUUUUGCUUAAUAAAAUUAAUUCUUACAUGCGAGUUGAACCUAAGAUGGCAUGAAAUUUAAAACGUGACAAUGUUUAUGAUUUUUCUAUGAUUUUAAAAUAUUAAAAAUGCAUGAAAUGCGAUUAAAUAAAUAAAAACUUAUAGAAAAUCAAUUAAAAUUAUUUUUGGUCUAUUUUUAGGAGUUGUUUUCAUGUAGGGCAAAUAUUAGGUGCUCACAACUGCCCCUCUUUGCUCGGAAACAUAAAGAGUUUUCGGGCAAAGAUAAAGUGAGCAAUUACGAGCAAUUUUUGCUCGUUUGAAACUCCAUUUGGAAGCAUUUUGAAAAAGUUUGACCGAACCUUGCUUCGGAGGUUGCCUACAUAUCCUUGGAUAUAAAGGAAUCAGGUCGGUGUAGUUCUAGAAGUUUUGAUAGCUGUGGCUACCGGGAAACUGUGAUUUCACUGUUGUUUCUGCUUGUUGAGCUCCUUAUUACACCAAAAUGAAAGAUGAAAAGCUAAACUAGUUAAGCCUAUCAACUACGAGUUACAAGAUUCAUAUCUAUAAACCUUCUAAAGUUUGAUCUUGAGUCUUGGUUGGUUCUUCCUGCAGACUCUGAUCUGAAUCUUGACGCUCGUUAAUUGAAACUAUUGAUUCAUUCUUCUUCAGCUUUUCGGAUCAAGUCGGGGCAUGCAAAGCUUGUAUUUUCAAUCAUAUCUUGAGCAGCCCGCAACUUUUCUCCGCUUCUACACUUAGAGUUCAACUUCUUUUCUUGUUCUUCUUUUCUUUUAUUUGAAUUGAGCAUUCUUCUUUUGGUUAUCCCAAACCUCGUGCCUUAUGGUAAAAAAAAAACUAUUCAGGCACUAAAACAAACAAACGGAUGAAAUUUUUCUGCCCCAGUUUUCACUAGAAAAAUUUGGGAGUUACUGCGACAAAAUCGAAACUAUUUUUUUUAUUGAAAGCAAUAAAAACAGGAUUGUGUAUCCUUGGGAAAAAGAGAUAAGGGAGUGGAGCCCUAUAUCUAUAAUGACUUCAACAGGGGAGUAGAGACCCUAUGUUGGAAAAGAGACUAGGGAGUGGAGACCCUACAUCUAAAAAUAAAAUCAACUAGCAAGUGAAGACUCUAAGUUGGAAAUGCGACUAGAGAGUAGAGACCCUAUGUCUAAAAUAAAUUCAACUAGGGAGUGGAGACCUUAUGUUGAAAAAAUGACUAGGGAGUGGAGACCCUAUGUUUAAAAUAACUUCAACUAGGGAGUAGAGACCCUAUGUUGGAAAAAAAGUAACUAGAGAUUGGGGACCCUAGGCUACCAUGUUUUUUUUAUUAAACAAAAAUGAGUAAGAAUACAGGAAAGAAUUUGGAGGAAACAUCCCUUUUGAAUUGAUUAUUGCUGCAAAACUGUUUCUAGCCCUUGCACAGUUUCUAUUGGUCGCACCUGCUUCUUGCUCGGUUGCUUUGGAUUGCACCUGUUUCAUGCAUUUCAAACAAAGAAUAAUUGUUAGUUUGUGGCCUUGAUUAUUUCAACCACUAGAUCUCGGCCCUUUUCAUCUACAACUGGUUGCUUCUUGAAGACCGAUUUCAUUUUUGGCCCCAGAGAACCUCUAAUUUUUCCAGACUUUGCCAUGACGGUUGGUCACAUGGGUCUUAAGCUUUCAACUUUAUUUCGCCUUUGUGGGACUUUCCCUUUUGACUUGUCGACUUUUUUAUUUUUUUUCUUUUUUUUCUUUUUUUCUUUUUUUUUAACUUCGGAGCAUUAGGGAACUUUAGCUCCUCAAACUUUGUCGCAACGGCUAGUCGCGUAGGACUUAAGCUUUUCCAACUUUAUUUUGCCUUCGUAGGCCUUUCAUUUUUGGCUUCUUUCUUUCAACUUCAAUUUCAGAGCAUUUGAGGCACUUUCAACUUUCACAUUUCAAACCUUUGCCAGGACAGUUAGCCACGUGGGACUCAAACUUUUUAACUCUAUUUUGCCUUUGUAGGCACUGCAAUUUGAUUUUAUCCUUCCAAGAGUUUUCAAUUUCAAAACAUCAGCUACCAUGGUCGGUUGAAGUCGACUUGAUGCCCCUGGCGAGGUUGGGUGCCUUUUGCAUAUUAUCUUGUAUCAAACGAAAGCCCUGUAAAUCAGUCUUGCUAUCUCUUCUUUUCCUCAACUUUGGAACAGAGUUAGACCGAAAGGAAUUCAAAGAAAACAAACAUUGGAAUGAGUUUAAAACAAGAAGUGUCCCUUUCGGGGAAAGGAAAGAAGGACUUAUCUAGAGUACAUGCGUACUUCAAUGAACAUUACAUGCCUUUUGGACUGGAUGCUUGAUCCGUAUAAACCGUCCGACUCUCAGAAAUUCAUCACAACUUUUGCCUCAAAAUCGAGAAACCUUGCUAGGACUCUGUCGAUGCUGAUGGGUGUGAGGAUCCUCUUUUCAAUUAGGGGUGUCCUUUGCGGGUUUUUACGAGCUGACCUCUCUCAUUUCUCUUCUCACCAUCGCCUUAUAGUGAUCUUUGCGAGUUUUCACUAACAAGACUCUCUCCUGCUCAAUUUCUCUGCUUACCAUCGUCUUACGGUACCCGUGUGGAUUUUCACCAAUAAGACUCUCUCAUUUUAUUUCUCUUAUUUUGACUGUAUCGGAUCCAAGUAGUUGCAUCUCCGAUCCUUGAACAUUCUUACCGAUUGAUCGGAAGGACUUGAACAUUAGGGUAAAAAGAUCUUGGAUAGAAUUACAACUUUAGAACUUUUCUGGCGAACCGUCGUCGAACCAUUAUAACUUCUACACCAGUUUCAACUUUGGAGGGGAAUGUGGACUUUUGUUUUGGUGUGACUGAACCCCAAAGAGAGGCUGCCUACGUAUCCUUUUGGAAUCAAGUCGAACGUAGUUCAGGGAACUUUGUUUUUUGAUUUUUUUGUUUUGUUUUCCUUUCUCUUUCUUUUCCUUUUUCCCUUUUUUUUGUUUUCAUUUCAUUUUCUUUUUUCCUUUUCUUCCCCCCUUUUCUUUUGUAUCUUUAUUUUUCUUCCUUUUUAUUUCAUUUUUUUUUCAUUUUUCAAUUUAUUUUUUUUCAAUAACACUUUCAGGUUCCAAAGAGGUUAAUCAAAGAAGAGUAAUCGGCUCAAAGGGUUAGCAAAAGGUUAAAGUGUUUGGGUAGCGAGAAUGAAAGCCUUCAUCAUCCCAACUAGAGAACAUUAAUGCUAUAUAGAGGAUCCAACAUAGUACCUUUUGACUACAUUUGCAUUGACAGCUGUUUCAGGGACAUUUCCUUCGAUGUGUCCCAAGUACAACGCACUUUUUUGGCAGUACUCUUGUUGCAAUGUAUGGACCUUUUCAAUCUGGAACCAAUUUUCCUUCAGUCAUUCCAACUCUUUGUUUUAUUUCCUUAAGCUUAUCUUCAUUUCAAUCUAAUUCUUGAUUCAUUAUUUCGAAGUCUGACAGCGUUUUAGGAUCUGGGCAUAAAGUCCGCAAGCAUGUCAUGUUAUUCAAAUCUGCAUUUAACAGAACUAAAAAGAGAACAAGAAAAUGACAAGAUUAAGAAAAGAGACAUUCCUAGACAAUGAAAUAUUAAUUUCAUUUGAUUUUUGAUUUUUUGAUUUUUUUUUAUUUUGAUUUUUUUUUUCAAUUUUUGAAGAUAGAAGGGUUUACAUCGUAAAGUCAGACAUUAAAGUAAAACAUACGGAUCACACCCUGAGAUAAUCCGGAUGCAGAAAGGAUAGCAAAACUGGCUACCGAGACUCCCAUCUGAUUGGGAACUUUCAGGCUUGGCCACCGUUUUUUGGCUUUUCUUUUGUCUCGGCAAUGGCUGCAAUGGCCUUCAGUGCCGGAUUAAAUUCCUUAUCUUCACAAAUCAUUCCAACUGUUGACCCAUUGUUGAGGGCAGACAACAGAUUGUUCAUCACAUCAAGAGCUUCUUUAUCUUGAAAAACAAUUCUUUCAGCUUCAAUCAAAUUUUCAACUGCCCUUUUGAGGGUCCAACAGUCCUCUGUACUAUGUCCCACUGCUCCAGAGUGGUAUUCACAUCUAGCAUCAGCCCAGAGCGAGGGGGACUCGGGGUUUGGCCGAUUCGGGUNNNNNNNNNNNNNNNNNNNNNNNNNAAUAGGGGUGAACUGAUUCUUUCUGAAAAGCUCUCUUGGGGUAGGAUUGUAUUGGGGAUAAUUUGGUUGAGGAUUAUAUGGAACUUGGUAAGGAUGGGUAUUUCUGAGAGGUGGAGCUCGGUUUUGUGGAUAAUGUUGUGGCCGCGGGUAAGGUUGCGCAUUCAUCACCGCAUAGGGCGACGAUGCCACGGCAUAAGCAACAUCGUGAAGGGGAUAAUAGUGUGGUGGGACGAUAGGAGGCACGAAUGAUUGGCUGAAUGACCUACGGGCCCCCCUCGAGCUUGAAACCAUCAUGGCUCCCUCUUCACUCUCAUUUCUGUUCAUCAAACCCUCCGAACCAUUCUGAGAAGACUAUGAUGUGGCCUUAAAAGCAGCAUGACUCAAGAUUCGACCUAUUUUUAAAUCGUUUUCAACCAUUUCCCCAAUUUGAUAGACUCAACGAACGGCUUACCCACAGCAGACAUCAUGUUCUGGAAGUAGUUAGCCUCUUGGGCUUGCAGAAAGAUCGUGACCAUUUUAAUUUCGUCCAUAGGAGGCUUUACCCUGGCAGUUUUCUCACGCCAUUUGACAGCACAUUCGCGGAAGCUUUCCAAAGAUUUCUUUUUGAAGUUGGACAAAGAAUUUCUAUCCGUAGCUAUGUCCACAUUGUACUAGAACUGUCUGACAAAAUCCCGGGCCAGGUCAUCCCAUAUGUGCCAAUGGGAGAUGUCUUGGUCCAUAUACCACUCUGAUGCCAUUCCAGUUAAGCUCUCUCCGAAAUAGGCCAUCAAAAGUUCUUCUUUUCUGCAUGUCCCUCUUAGCUGGUUGCAAUAUCUUUUCAAAUAGGCGAUCAGGUCUCCAUGCCCGUCAUAUCUUUCAAAUUUUGGCAUCUUGAAGCCGUGAACAUGGGGAAACAUACAGAGGCCAUAGUAUGAGACACUCUUUUGGUCACUCAGACCUUGCAUGUUUUUCAAGCGUUGUUCCAGGCUCUUCAUCUUCCGAGCCAUUUCCUCUUGCUCGGGAUUUUUAACAACCUUUUCUUGCUCCACCGAGAGGUCAUAUUGCGGAGGUUGAGUGAAAGAGUAUGGGGUCACAUAUGUUAUUUCUGGUUGAAGUUGUGGACCCUGAAAGAUGAAUAUUGGAGUGGUGCCUUUGAAGUCGGUGCCUGGGGCGAACCACAGAAGGCAUGCCAGGAAUAAUUGACAGCAUUGGAGGGUACCCGCAUGGGAUGAGCGGGUUGGGCACAAGGGCAUUGAUAACCUCACCUGACCUGGGGAUCAACUCAGGGAACCUAGGGAUUGCACUUGGAGGUUCUCUACCAUUAGACCAGCCAUCCCACAUUUCCAAUAAGCGGAGACGCAACAUCUUAUUCUCUUCAGCAGUUGCUGAUUCUAGCUGCAGAAUAGCCGAUGUCGGGCUAUCCUCAGGAUUGACGAUUGGUUGAUUGCUUGCGGAGGCCAUCUGUGCCUUUGGAUCUUGUGAAGGAGGGGAGGCUAGACUACCAACAAAACCAACCACCAAAACCUAGCUUAUUUGCGCACCCAACAACCUUAUUAGUUUUUUGAGACAUUUAACAUAUAGGAAAUCGCACGUUGGUAUGCAAUGCACCUAAACAGUUAAACGCUUAUACCAUGUGUUUGAACGGUUGCAUAUUUCAUCCCGGCCUUGACUAACCCUUUCAGUAUGUAUCUCUUUUCUUUUAUUUUUUGCCUCUCUUUAAUCACUCUUGAUUUUUUUUCAUUUUGUUUCUGCCGCUCUUUAAUUUUGGCCUUCUCUUUUUUUUGUUUUUAUUUUUUUCACUUUUUCUUUCUUUUUUCACUCAAUUUUUUUUUCUUUUUUUCAGAUAAUUUUUCUCUCAGUUUAUUUAUGACUAUGAUCGAAUCCGAUGGGGAUUGCCUACGUAUCAUGACACCGUAUGAAUCAGAUCUUGCGUAGUUCGGGAAGAUUGGGAAUGGAGUAAAUAAACUAACCUUUUUUUUACUUUUUAUAAAAUUCAGACCAUGAAAGUUUUAAGGCAAAAGAAAAAAAAUUGAUUUUUGAUUGAUAUUUGUUUUAAAAUUUCUUUUGGAAUUUUCUAAAACAAAUGCUUUAAAAGAAGAAAGGAAAUAUUUUUUUUAUUUUGAUUUUUAUUUUAUUUUUGAAAGAAAGACUUCUAAAAUUCCUUGAUUGGAACUUUAGCAAUUUCAAAAUUAAAAGGAAAUUUUUCUUUUUUGAAUUUUCGUUUGUUUUCUCUUAUUCUAAAGAAGAAAGAAAAUAUUUUUGGAUUUUGAAUGUUGCCUCUUAUUUUUCGAAAGAGGGACCUUUUAAGAAAAUAUUUUGAAUUUCUGAUUGUUUUGUUUUUAAAUUUACAAAAGUACUUCUAAGGAAAAACAAAAAUAUUUUUGGACUUCAAUUUUUCAAUUUUUUUGACAUUUACGAAAGAAAAACUUUUAAAGAAGGAAAAGAAUAUUUUCUUUUUUUUUGGAUUCUUUUUUUUUAAUUUUUUGGAAAAAUACUUCAAAACAAAGAAAGCCCGUAUGAAAUACUCUAGAAAGAGGGAAACUGCUUUUUUGAGUUUUAAAAACUUCCCCUAUUUUUGUAUUUUCUAAGGAAAUAUUUCUAAAGGAAAAUAUUUUUGGAUUUUUGAAAAUUGGGGUCGGAACCGAUGAGGUUUGCCUACGUAUCUCACAUCCGGUGAGAAUCAGACCCGCGUAGUUCGGUCAGUUUUGACGGAACAAGGGAAACAUGACCUUUAAAAUUUUGGCUCAAUUUGAAAUGACUUUUCUUUUUCUUUUUCUUUUUUCUUCAGAAUUCGGUAGAGUUUCAGAAUUUUCUAAAUAUCUACCUCUCACUUUUUUUUUAAUUUUCUUUCUCUAUUCUAGAAGCUGGUCAACAUGCAAGCCGAAACAGACAGAUACGCAGGUAGCACGUAAGAUGCAUCAGGAUGGUCUUUUAAUUUAGGUACACCUGUCCUAAACUGACCCAACCCUUGUGUUGAGUCCCCAAAGUCAAAUGCACGUGAUGCAAACAAAACGGUCCUACUAGGGAUCUGGCAUGAGGCUAUGUUAUUCUAGGUUUAAAACCUGGGUGUAUUGUUCUAGACCUGGCUUACCCGAGCGGACAGCUCGAGCCGAGGGGGGCAGCGUACCGGGAAUACAGAAGCUUUACCGGCUUUGUAACUUGUCCGAACCUCGUUCUAAAAUUGGGAUAUGACUCUAACAGAAAAGAAGUCACACGAAGUGCACACUUCCUAGAUGAUUUAGAAGACUCAGAGAGAAUAGGAUUUCGUAAUAAUUUAUAUAUAGUUCAAACAAUAUCAAAGCGGUAAAAAGUGGCAUUUAGCACAUUAGGCUCAAACAUGUAAAAUCAGAUAAUAAAUAAAACCAAGUAUAACAGUUAUUCUAAGCUCAAAUUCUGAACCCUGAACUAGAAGUUCUGGGUUCUUAUCCCCAGUAGAGUCGCCAAAGCUGUCACACCUCCUUUUUACACCCCAAGGGUAUAUAGGAGUUUUUCCAAUUAAAGUGACAUUAUUCGAAAUGAGAUUAUUUUAUUUAAUCAGAUUUGCCACUUGGGAUAGUUUAUUUAGCGUCUCAAGUCACCGGUUUAUUUUAAAAUCCCCAAUUGAGGAAAUUUCGACUUUAUUUUAAAAGUCUGCGAACUAGAAAUUCUAAGUAAGGAAUUUUGUUAACCCGGAAGAAGGUGUUAGGUAUUCCCGGGUUCCGUGGUUCUAGCACGGUCACUUAAACUAUUAAUAAUUGGCAUAUUAUCUGAUUUACUACAUGUUUUAAACCUAUUGUGCAUUUUUAGCUUUAUAACCGCUAUUUAAUUAUUUUAACCGCUUUUAAAAUUUAUGGAAUAAUUUCUUAAACAAGUUACGAUUGUUGUACACUUGUCGUUUUGGGACACACCGCAAACCACGCUACAUGAAAUUCACCUGCGAUUCACGAUAUGUUUAUUUUUAUUAAUAUUCAAAGUUGUUAUGAUCGGGUCACAUGAAAUGCACACCCGAAUUGGGGAUUAUGUACCGUGACCAUGCCAUGGGAACCGUACCUAUAGUCACGAUGUUUAUUUAUUAAUCCCGCCACUCUAACGGUGUUCAUUAUUCUUCCUAAAUUUUGAGAUUAUUGUGAGGACAUGAUUUUGGGAUAUGAAAUUGACAUGAGGGUCAAGAAAUAUGUUAUCUAUUUAAAGUAUAUCCUAGUUAUUAUACAUAGCAAUGGUGCAACCUUGAUAAAAAAAAAUUGAAGUUACCCAACUAUACCCACCCCUAGCUAUCUCUAAAUAUGUGGAUACACACUUCCCACUAUCAUAAAUUUACACUUCACUGGUUAGGAGGGUAGUAAUCGAAUUUCUUAAGUUUGUCUUGACCAUAUUUAUGGUAAUGGAGAUUAAAUAUUCCCUAUAUAUGUGAAUAAAGAAAAAUGAUGCCCUAUAUAUAUUUAUUAACUAUAGUUCACUUAAACUAAUAAAGUAGAUUAACUUAAUCCUAGUAGCUACAGUAAACUAGAGGAAAAAAUACAUAAGAACUACUAAAUUCAAACUUCACUACAAAUGUUGGCUCUUCUUAGCACAAACAAGGGUAUUCUUUAUAUUCCCAGUAUUUUUCGUAUUCUACCUUCAUAUUUAGUGCAACAAUCAGCACUUUCUCAUCCUAAUCUACUACAAAUCACUAUUUAAAUAGUACAUUAUGAUGCAUAUCUAGAAUAUCUACUCAUAAGAAGAGCCAAUAUUCUAAAAGCUCAUAAUAGGAUUUUGAUUGGGAAAAGACAACAGAAACCAAUGUCUAAAAAUUUAAAGUAUAUUCAGCAUCCUUGUCAUGGGGUAUUCAAGAGGAUUCAAGCACACUUUAUGAAACUUUUCCAGGAUAAGUAUCCAUAUGUAAUGACAAUGCACUCACAGAACAUCAACAAUUCUUCCAAAGUACAAACCCGUUCAGAAUUUGUAUAAAAACAACAAUAGAAAACAAGUCCUUGAAAUGCACAAAAAUAUAUAGAACCAAUUAUAAUCUAACUCAAAGCAGUAACACAAACAAUGUCAGAAUAGAGGCUAUUAACAUACACAUCCAAACAAAAAUUACAUUAUUUGAAACCAAAACUCAUACCUUGACCAUAAAAACCCAAAAAAAACAAGUUGAGGCUGGACAAAGAACCAGCUCAAGCUCAACAAGACAACAAACAUCAACGACAGCAGUCCACGGUAAAAAUCAACCUUCAAUCGCUUACACUCGAGAAUCCCUGAAUACUCUAAUUUAAUCUCAGAAAAACAGCUUGAGAACUCCAAAAUAUGCAGCAACUAAACAAAAAUCGGAACUAGCUUUCAAUUUUCCCUCUUCUUUUGGACUUGUGCUCGGAUUUCUGGAGCAUUUGUUUUCGAUUUAGGGCUCUUUUUUUAAUUCCUUAGCUCUAAUCUGUUCUUCUACUGUGUGUGAGUGAGAUGAUGAUUAGAGGAGGGUGAUAUGAGAAGAGGGGGGAAUGGCGCUAUUUUGAGAGGGGAAGGGGAGGUCUGUUCUUGGUAAUAAUGAAAAUGGAGAGGAAACUCCCUCCCAGAUGCGUCGUUGCUAUGUGGGGUGAGGUAUCUCAUUAUUUAGGUCUAGGAGCUAGGUUUUAAUUAAAGGGGAUGGG
rnacentral:lncRNA from 1 species